rnacentral:rRNA from 1 species
UACAGAGGUCCCAAGCGUUGUUCGGAUUCACUGGGCGUAAAGGGUGCGUAGGUGGUUCUGCAAGUCUGAUGUGAAAUCUCCGGGCUUAACCCGGAAAUGGCAUUGGAAACUGCAGGGCUAGAGUGUUGGAGGGGGGACUGGAAUUCUCGGUGUAGCAGUGAAAUGCGUAGAUAUCGAGAGGAACACCAGUGGCGAAGGCGGCUCACUGGACCAUAACUGACGCUGAUGCACGAAAGCUAGGGGAGCAAACAGG